GACGUAGGGCGCGAGCGUUGUUCGGAAUCACUGGGCGUAAAGGGCGCGUAGGCGGCCUUGCAAGUCGGUUGGUGAAAGCCCGGGGCUCAACCCCGGAGGUGCGGCCGAGACUGCAGGGCUGGAGGCCGGAAGAGGAGGGUGGAAUACCCAGUGUAGAGGUGAAAUUCGUAGAUAUUGGGUGGAACACCGGUGGCGAAAGCGGCUCUCUGGUCCGGACCUGACGCUGAGGCGCGAAAGCGUGGGGAGCAAACAGG
rnacentral:rRNA from 1 species